GACGAACGCUGGCGGCGUGCCUAAUACAUGCAAGUCGAACGCAGUGGGGACGGGUGAGUAACACGUGGGUAACCUCCCAUCAGAGGGGAUAACACUUGGAAACAGGUGCUAAACCGAUACUGAUGGAUGGACCCGCGGUGCAUUAGCUAGUUGGUGAGGUAACGGCUCACCAAGGCCACGAUGCAUAGCGGACAUGAGGGGGGGUGGGGCCACCCGGCGACGGAGACACGGACCAGAGUCCUACGGGAAGCGGCAGUAGGGAAUCUUCGGCAAUGGACGAAAGUCUGACCGAGCAACGCCGCUUGAGUGAAGAAGGUUUUCGGAUCGUAAAACUCUGUUGUUAGAGAAGCGGUAUCUAACCAGAAAGCCACGGCUAACUACGUGCCAGCAGCCGCGGUAAUUC
rnacentral:rRNA from 1 species